GUUUUCUGAGGUGAUUUCACACGUCUUUUUAUAGUACUUCAUCUUAGAUUUUUGAAGGGAUAUGACUUCCUACUAAGGAUUUAGUUUACCACAACAAUUCUGACAAUAAGACAUUUUGAGGAGGAUAUUUGGCUACUGUAAACAUGGCUGGUGGAAAAGCACAUGACUGUGGCUUGAUGUGGCAAGCCGAAACCACUUGGCUCUGGAAAUCCUAAGUUCAUGCUGGUUUAAUUAAGCUCUCUCCUGACAACCCCCAGAAUUAAAUGAACCAUGAUUGUGAAGAGUAAUUUGGUACAAUGAAGGCAGUGUUUUUAAGUUAAAGGAAAUGGGCUAAACAUAAAGUUCUUAUUAGAUAAGUAAAUAACUAAAGAAUACAAUUACUAAACUCUGAUGGCUUUGUAUUAUUUUAAAGAAAUGAAGUUUAACUUUAUACAAUGAAGCUAAGCUAGGCAAGCUCAAGAAGGAAAAAAAAAUCUUGAACAUUAUUUUUUUUUGCCUGACUUAUUCAUUAAAUUUUGAAGGUUUUCCACUUGAGGUAAAGUAGGAAAGGUAAAGAAGAUAACAGAACAAGUAAACACUUAAGAAAAGUCAAGCUGAGGCCGGGCAUGGUGGCUCACACCUGUAAUCCGAACACUUUGGGAGGCCGAGGGAGGCAGCUGGAUUGCCUGAACUCAGGAGUUCAAGACCAGCCUGGCCAACAUGGUGAAACCUCAUCUCUACUAAAAUACAAAAUAAUUAGCUGGGCGUGGUGGUAUGUGCUGUAGUCCCAGGUACUCGGGAGGCUGAGGCACGAGAAUUGCUUGAGCCCAGGAGGCAGAGGUUGCAGUGAGCCGAGAUCGCGCCACUGCACUCCAGCCCGGGUGACAGAGCGAGGCUGUCUUCUAAAAAAUAUAAAAAGUGAAGCUGGCAUUUUUGGAUUUAAAUGGUACAAAAAGAAUAUCUCAUUUUCCCAUGAUUAAAGCUAAUCUUCAGAUGGAAAGCUUGCCUGGCUACCUAGGGUGCACCAGAGAAUCUGAUCCAAUGCAAGCCAGUCAAUCCUACAAAUGUGGUGAGCUAGUCUUCCUUCCUAUAUUUUAAUAAAUGUAACCAAAGGCCAUCUGGAGGUAGGGGAAUGAGAGGUGAAGGAACAGAAAAAUAAAUAGAGGUUAUAAGGAUGGAACUAAAAGUUGUCAGAAGAGGUAUGAGCUGAAGAAAGAAUUACUCUCUUUUGACCAAUAAAUACAAUUGGGAAACACUGGAAAACCAUGGCUUGAUUACUGACAACCAACCUGCCUCUCUAAAGAGGGUAUAUAAAGGGUGAAAUACAUUAGAUUUGGCUCAGAAACAGAAUGCAGUACUUAUAAAGCAGAAUAAAGGGGAGAACAGUAGUAGUUGAUCUAACCCAGAUUAGACAUGAAUACCAGCAUAUGUUUGCAGAGUCCCACAGUUUUGAUUCUUCUUAUAACUAACUUUGAGGUGCAAAAGGAAGGUACCAGAACUGGAAUCACAUGUAAUCAGUGUGAUUUUCCCCUCAUACCACACAGCCAUAGGCUGCAGUGUGGCUGCUGAAGUUCAAUUGAUAUAAAGUAAAUCAGGCUUCAAAAAGGAUGGUGCUGUGGGUACACAAGGACAUAAAGAUGGGAACGAUAGACACUGAGGACUGCGGCGGGGGGAGCGAGGGGAGCGGGGAGGGCAAGGGCUGAAAGACUAUGUAUUGGGUACUAUGCUCACAACCUGGAUGAUGGGAUCAUUCAUACCACAAACCUCAGUAUCACACAAUAUACCCAUGUAACAAACCUGCACUCUGCACAUGUACCCUUAGAAUCUAAAAUAAAAGUUGAAAUUAUUUUUUUAAAAAAAGGAUGGCACUGGUCAUAGAAAAAGUCAAAGUAAACCAACAGUGUCAUUUUCAAAUGUUGCUGGAAGCACAAUAUUGGCCAUAAGUUAGUGAGGUUAAAAUAGAAGAAUAUGGCAUUUUAUAGUAUAAGGAAAAGCUACAAACCUCAAGGUUGUUUUAUUUAAACCAAAUAAUCUGAGCAAGACAUAUAUACAUUAAAAACAAAUGAACACAUUAAAAUUUCACUAUUUUACAAUCUAAAUUCUAGCAACAUAUACAAAUAAUACUGAGUGACUACAGUACAUGCCGAGGUAAGAUAAGUACAUUCUAGGAGAAUAUCACUGACGCUCAAACCAUUUUUAUUUCCAAUAUGUAUUUCAAUACGUUUGUUUCCACUUUCCCCAGUGCCACACACACACACACACACACACAAACAAAACAAAACAAAACAAAACACAAGUUGGAUUACAUUAGAAUUGGUGCCACAGUUGACUUUAAAAGCAUUUUAAUAACCAUCCAACUCUUAGAUUUUGCAGUUUAGGGACUUCAAGUUCAGAACCAAAAAGCAGAGAAUCGUUUCAUGUGACAUGAUGUUUCUAUAGACCUCUUGCUCUCUAGGUGACAAUGCAGAGCCAGGGCAAAGGUGUUUAAGCUUUGUCACUUUCCACAGCUUUGUGGCCACAUUCAUAUUUAGAUAAGCUCGGACUCUGCUCCCCUCUUCUGGAGAUGGGGAGAGGCAAGUGUGUAUGUGUUGUCAUACUUACUGCAUUAAUUCUUCACUCGAACCGUUUACAUCAGCGAAUAAACCCAUUGUUCAAUGCAAAGUGCAAACAGUGAAACAUGAACUUAAAUAAACUGGACUAGACCCAUCACAUCCAACAGGAUCUAUUUAGAUUUACAGCAUUUAAUAAAGUAUAAGUCAGAAUUCACAAUAUCUUAAACUGUGCUGUUUCCUAAGAUCAAGUAACAGCCAAGUCAGUGUAAUUUUAUGAAACCUGUAAUGGCCACAUUUGUUGUGUCUCCGAUGUAUUUCUAUAAUUGCAUUAACAGGAAAAAACUUAAUCCAAUAUACCAGUGACUUUGAGUCUUAAAUGUUGCAAGCAAAGGAUAAAAAUUCAAGGGAAUUUUGUCAGAUAUGGUUACUUUCACAUUUUCAAUUGUUACUUGAUUGUCUCCAAAGCUGUAUAUGUAUCAGACAUAUAAAUGUAGUAAAAAAAAAAAAAACAAAUAGAAAACCUCUACUAUAAAAACCAAUGAACUAAAAAGAAGUAUAAAGCAGAAAAACCAUUUGAAUCAGGCUCAGCUCUUCAUCUGGAAAGUAAAGUUUAUAUAAAAGUAAAAACUAGAUAUUUUAUAAAAAUUAUUGGUAGUUCAAGGAUAGCACAGUGGCAAUAUGAAUCGAGUCUUAAAAUAUGCAUCAUUUCAGAAAACACUUGCCUCUCUUAAAAAAAAAAAAACCCAAAACUAAACAACAACAACAAAAACCUCCAGGAAAAAACAAUCAGGUAUACACAAUUAACACAAGAAUAGCAAACUUCUUUGGGAAAAUGAAAUAGUUACCAAAAACAUCUCUCUUAAAGCUUCAAACAGGUAUAUUACUUGAGGAAAAGUAUAUUCUCUGUGUACUCAGGAUGAAUUAAAAAAUCAACUGGUUUGCUCUCUUCCCACCUGAAAAGGGAAGACUGCAUUAAUAUAUGUGCUUUCCACAUCCAUAUAUGUUUUAAUAAAAGUCUACCAUCUAUGUCUUUUGUUUCAAACAUUUUGAAACAAAAUAUGUAUUGAUUCUUCAAUGAAUGAAAUCGCGCCUCAAAGUUUGGAGAAGGAAAAGCCAGUGAAAAUAAGGCCAAAAAACCAUACCACAAAAGGACAGGAAGCCUGCAGAAAUAAACAGUUCUCUUUCUGAAGCGAUGUUUUAGAAUACUGAUAUAAUUCAUGGAAACAAGAAAACAAAUACUGUUCAUCUUUAUUCAAAUUGAGUGAAUUCUGGCAACAUCAUAAUCUGGUGGCUCAGGCCAACAGAAGUGACUAGAACUUUAUGGAAAAGUACUGUUCAACAUUAAAUCUACAAACAAAGGUUUAUGGAAGAGGGAAUGUCAAAUUUAUGUAUUUUUAUUAAAUGGUGAGCUGCUCAUGUCGUCUUGCCAGUCUGAAGGCUUUAAAAGAUGGUUUUACAUCGUUGGCUAAUAAAUUACAGAUGAUUUCUAUUUUGCCAUGUCUAAAACUAGCUCUGGGCAGGUAUGAACAAGUGGUGACAUGGAAGCUGCCAGGAGGUAUCAAAAACAAGGCAUGAAUAUUCAUUUGCUAGGAAGCUAUAAUGUCUGUUCCCUAGGUGACAUACAGGACUACUCAAACCUCUUACCACACAAAGUGCACGAUCACGCAGUCCUGAAAGAUACACGUUAGGUUUAUAUUUUGUGUAACAGUUUAUGGAAAACUGAAAUGAAAAAUUAUUUUUUCUGACUAAAAAUAUAAAAUACCUUGAGACUCAAGAAAAAUGUAUAUGUUUGUGAAUGUAUAAAACCAAAAAGGACAAAUUCUGGUUACUUUUUAAAGAGGUAAUUUAUAUUACUUCUGAGUGAAUAAUUUUGCCUUUCACUGUGAUAAAUAUAAGUGGGUCAUGUUUACAGUAUUCCCUUAGAAGCCUUCAACUUUUCAUAACUCUCCUAGGAAAAAUCCCAUUGCAAAUAAAGUUGGGGGUGGGAGAAGAAUCUCCUUUAAAGCUUUCAAAUCAUAAAGUUGUUCCUGUUUACACACUGAGGAGCAUACUUAAAAGACAUGAAGGGAUCUGAAUUCAUGAGACUAAGGCAAGCAUCACUCAUCAGAAAUACUCAAACAUUUUAUAAACACAAGAAUGGGGCAAGACACCAAAGGGCCUCAAGUGGAACACGCAAGGAUGAGACCAGGCCAUAUACUGUGAAGCAUUAAAGCUCUAAAGAGUGUCACAAAGUGAAAAAGCAAUCCCCCUGCUCAUUACAAGUCAGAAAAUCCCAGCUAUAGAUCUUAAGAUGGAUAAGUGGAUAUGGCUGCAAUAAAAACAAUGCUUAUAUCACUAAUUAUUUAAAAAAAUCCAGAAAAGAAUAUAGGAAUAGAAGAGGAAAUCAUGAUAGUACCCAUCUUUCACAAACAGACUAGAAUUUCAAGCCAUUAGGUAUUUCAAGAACAGUACCAUGCGUUAUUGCCAGUCAGGCUUACAGAGCCAUCUCGAGUUCAUUAAUGUACCUGCAGCAUUGGUAAUAAAUACUCUCAGUGAUUUUUAAUUUCUCUGAAGUGCAUUAUAGGGAGCUUUUUCUGUAUUAAAAAUAGUGUUCUACAGUAGUAUCAAACAGGACAUUUGAAAUUUAACAGGCGAGCAGUAACUGUGCCACCAUAACACCUUAAAGCAAGAUGGCAAGAUUAGUAGUUUCCUGUACCUCAGUCACCACAUUUUCCCCAACCACUUCAGUGACAGUUAUGUAAUACAUUCCAUAUAUUACUACCACUAAUAAUUAAAAAAAAAAAGGCCAUGUGCUUUAAAACGAUGCUUUGUAAAAAGCAGCAUCAUCUUCAAAGGAUUUCUUUAAAAACAUCACAUUCCCCAUCCCUUCCUGCUCCUGAUACUUCUUGUGUGCUCUGUGGCACCUGGUACACCAAUUCGUCUGGGGCAGGUGGACCUGGCUUCCCAGCUUUCGGGGUAUCAUACUGGGCCUGGGCUGAGGAGCAGCUGUCAGUCCUGGAGAGAAGUGUAUUGUAAGUUCCCACUAGUGGGGGAGGUUGGUUCCCCGUAGCCUUGAAAGUGGAUGUGGAGGGCUGACCAACUGAAGUUGUGGGGUGCCCUGACAUGUCCAUGAUGAUUGGGGUUGCAUACUCAGGCCCCGUAAUUGGGAGUGGUUCAGCAUAGGCAUGAUAAACUUCCUGCCCUGGUGAGUUGUAAGGAUCUAGGUCUGCAUAGCCUGCUUCUUUUCCUUCUUCUGGUUUAAAGGUAGAUCUUUGAUGAAGUGUACCAACAAUUCCUCCUACCAGUGGCUGAGCAUACUCUGUGGAUAUCACAAAACAACAGAAAAGUCAUUUUACUAGUAAAGAGAUUGCAUAAUUUAGGGUGGCAGCUACAGAUUAUACUAAAAGCAAACAUUCUUUAGGGUACUUUUGUUGCCAUCAAUACUUAAUCUGCAAGAACUUUGAAAAUUAAAAUUAAAC
rnacentral:lncRNA from 1 species